CCUACGGGAGGCAGCAGUGGGGAAUAUUGGGCAAUGGGCGAAAGCCUGACCCAGCGACGCCGCGUGGGUGAUGAAGGCCUUCGGGUUGUAAAGCCCUGUCGUGUGGGAAGAACAGCCCUGUAGCUAAUACCUGCAGGGUUUGACGGUACCACAGGAGGAAGCACCGGCUAACUCCGUGCCAGCAGCCGCGGUAAUACGGAGGGUGCAAGCGUUGUUCGGAAUUACUGGGCGUAAAGGGCGCGUAGGCGGUUGUGUAAGUCAGAUGUGAAAUCCUCCGGCUCAACCGGAGAACUGCAUUUGAUACUACACGGCUAGAGUACAGGAGAGGGAAAUGGAAUUCCCGGUGUAGAGGUGAAAUUCGUAGAUAUCGGGAGGAACACCAGUGGCGAAGGCGAUUUCCUGGUCUGAUACUGACGCUGAGGCGCGAAAGCGUGGGGAGCAAACAGGAUUAGAUCCCCGGGUAGU
rnacentral:rRNA from 1 species